AUGCAUGACUUAAUGCAUGAUCUUGCAAAAGACGUCACAGAUGAAUGUGCAAGUAUAGGAGAACUGACUCGGCAGAAAGCAUUGUUAAAAGAUGUUUGUCACAUGCAAAUGUCAAAGGCCGAACUGAAACAAAUCAGUGGGUUAUGCAAACACAAAAAGUACCUCCGCACUUUGUUAUCUCCUUCAGAAUUACACAGGCAUUAUUAUUUUUUAAAUAGGUCACAUAAGGAUUUUAAAGAGUUUCUACAGAUAUCAGCAUCACUAAGAGCAUUGCAUUGCCCCCCUUCUUCAAUUGACAUUUGCACAGCCAUAAAUGCGAAACAUUUAUGA
rnacentral:rRNA from 1 species